rnacentral:tRNA from 2 species
GUGGCUGUAGCUCAGUUGGUUAGAGCGGUCGCUUGUGGAGCGACAGGUCGAGGGUUCGAUUCCCUUCAGCCACCCA